CCUUAAUCCGGAGGUAGGAUUUUAAGUUAAUAUGAUAGAAUGUGAAUUUACAAGCAUGUAGGAAGAAACGAGAGGUUAAACGGAUAAACGGUUCAAAAGUUAUGCGCGUUUUAGCGCGUACGAACGACAAAACAACAUCAGUUUUGCCAGACGCCUUAUUUAGCUGUUUACGGGUGUUUCUGGCUACGGGUAAAGGCAAGGCCCGUCGCCGAAGCCUCUAGGGCCGUCGCCGACGGCCUCCCCAAGUCUCAAAAGCUGAAAUCUUGUUAUUUAAGUUGAUUUAUGUAUCGUAGGCUUCGGUUUGUUACCCGUGGACUACGGCGGGUUUUCUAAACAUGAUUUGAUAGAUCCUUAGAUGUUUAUGGGCUAUAAAUCAAAGUCUAAGUCCCAUGUAAAUAUUGUAUGAUUAUGUAAAGAUGUAGGAAAGGUAUGUACGUAUGUAGUUGUGUAUGUAUGUAUGUGUAAGGACAUAUAUGAGGGUAUGCACGUAAGUAAAGUUGUAGGAAAGGCAUGUGUGUAUGUAGAUGUGUAUGUAUGUUUGUAUGUAAGUACGUAUGCAUGCAUGAAUUGAUAUGUUCGAAUUUUAACGUUACUAAUUAUGCGUUUGAGGUCGGUAUGUAAUGCAGGAAUGAGUACAUCGGAUUCUUAUGAAAUUUAAGCCCAACCCGGAAUAAGAGGAUGAGUGAUACACGGACUUCUUCUACUACUUAGGAGGUGAAGCGGACGUAAAUCGAGUCAAGAGCAAGGAUUGCACGGAUAGAUCGACCAUAUAGUUGAAAUAUAUAACGUCUAGAAAUGUAAAUUUUUAAAGCUCUUUUCCGCUGCGUCAUUUUUAAGGUAAAACGUGUUAGGGCGUAACAUAACAUGCGAACAUUGUUUACAACAUGCGAUGUUGGUAUUUUUUUUUACAACAUGCGAUUUUUGCAUUAAAAAUAACAUGCGAACAUUGUUUUUUGCAA